rnacentral:rRNA from 1 species
UGAUUAUGACGUACUUGUACUGAUUGAGAUUUUAACACGAAGUGAGUGGCGAACGGGUGAGUAACACGUGGGUAACCUGCCCAGAAGUAGGGGAUAACACCUGGAAACAGAUGCUAAUACCGUAUAACAGAGAAAACCGCAUGGUUUUCUUUUAAAAGAUGGCUCUGCUAUCACUUCUGGAUGGACCCGCGGCGUAUUAGCUAGUUGGUGAGGUAAAGGCUCACCAAGGCAGUGAUACGUAGCCGACCUGAGAGGGUAAUCGGCCACAUUGGGACUGAGACACGGCCCAGACUCCUACGGGAGGCAGCAGUAGGGAAUCUUCCACAAUGGACGCAAGUCUGAUGGAGCAACGCCGCGUGAGUGAAGAAGGGUUUCGGCUCGUAAAGCUCUGUUGUUAAAGAAGAACGUGGGUAAGAGUAACUGUUUACCCAGUGACGGUAUUUAACCAGAAAGCCACGGCUAACUACGUGCCAGCAGCCGCGGUAAUACGUAGGUGGCAAGCGUUAUCCGGAUUUAUUGGGCGUAAAGCGAGCGCAGGCGGUCUUUUAAGUCUAAUGUGAAAGCCUUCGGCUCAACCGAAGAAGUGCAUUGGAAACUGGGAGACUUGAGUGCAGAAGAGGACAGUGGAACUCCAUGGUUUACGC